GAUCAUGGCUCAGGAUGAACGCUAGCGGCAGGCUUAACACAUGCAAGUCGAGGGGCAGCACGAGGUAGCAAUACUUUGGUGGCGACCGGCGCACGGGUGCGUAACGCGUAUGCAACCUACCUUUAACAGGGGCAUAACACUGAGAAAUUGGUACUAAUUCCCCAUAACAUUCGAGAAGGCAUCUUCUUGGGUUAAAAACUACCGGUGGUUAAAGAAUGGGCAUGCGUUGUAUUAGCUAGUUGGUGAGGUAACGG
rnacentral:rRNA from 1 species